AGGGCUCAUAUCCAACACUGCAACAUUCCCAAGGGUGAGCAAAAGCAGUGCUUGAGGGACAUAGUGGCAAAGGGUAUUGCUACUAAAAGCAGCCAAUGGGAUUAAUGAGAUGGAAGCACAUGAUUCUUUGUUAGCAGUACUUCCUGUGGUCAGAGGGACUCUGAGAUGUUUGGAAGCACAUAAGAUGGAUAAACUGAGAGACAGAUGGAUAAAUGACUUGCCCAAGAUCACACAGAAAGUCAAUGGCAGAACCAGAAAUGAAGACCAAGCUCUUCUCACCUAGUCAUGAGAUUUAAACAACUUAUAAAGUGACAGAUUAUCUUAAAUAAAGCAGUCGCUCCACAUAG